rnacentral:rRNA from 1 species
GGUAGAGCACUGUUUCGGCAAGGGGGUCAUCCCGACUUACCAACCCGAUGCAAACUGCGAAUACCGGAGAAUGUUAUCACGGGAGACACACGGCGGGUGCUAACGUCCGUCGUGAAGAGGGAAACAACCCAGACCGCCAGCUAAGGUCCCAAAGUCAUGGUUAAGUGGGAAACGAUGUGGGAAGGCCCAGACAGCCAGGAUGUUGGCUUAGAAGCAGCCAUCAUUUAAAGAAAGCGUAAUAGCUCACUGGUCGAGUCGGCCUGCGCGGAAGAUGUAACGGGGCUAAACCAUGCACCGAAGCUGCGGCAGCGACGCUUAUGCGUUGUUGGGUAGGGGAGCGUUCUGUAAGCCUGCGAAGGUGUGCUGUGAGGCAUGCUGGAGGUAUCAGAAGUGCGAAUGCUGACAUAAGUAACGAUAAAGCGGGUGAAAAGCCCGCUCGCCGGAAGACCAAGGGUUCCUGUCCAACGUUAAUCGGGGCAGGGUGAGUCGACCCCUAAGGCGAGGCCGAAAGGCGUAGUCGAUGGGAAACAGGUUAAUAUUCCUGUACUUGGUGUUACUGCGAAGGGGGGACGGAGAAGGCUAUGUUGGCCGGGCGACGGUUGUCCCGGUUUAAGCGUGUAGGCUGGUUUUCCAGGCAAAUCCGGAAAAUCAAGGCUGAGGCGUGAUGACGAGGCACUACGGUGCUGAAGCAACAAAUGCCCUGCUUCCAGGAAAAGCCUCUAAGCAUCAGGUAACAUCAAAUCGUACCCCAAACCGACACAGGUGGUCAGGUAGAGAAUACCAAGGCGCUUGAGAGAACUCGGGUGAAGGAACUAGGCAAAAUGGUGCCGUAACU